rnacentral:rRNA from 1 species
UGGUCAAUGGCCUAACGGCUGAACCAGCAACUUGGAAGAGCGUAUAGCAAUAGCUAAUCUCAUCUAAUAUGAAUUGAUGAGAUAUCGACUUUGUCGAAUAAAGCUCAGAGUAGUAUUAUGAUAAUGACAUUUUCUGCUUAAAGUCUUGGCCAAAUUACGUGCCAGCAGUCGCGGUAAGACGUAGAAGGCUAGUGUUAUUCAUUUUUAAUGGGUUUAAAGGGUACCUAGACGGUAGAUAAAGCUUUUAUUAGAACUAAUUUACUAGAGUUUUUUUUGAGGGGGCAGUAAGGUACUAAUGGUGUAGGGAUGAAAUCCUGUAAUACCUAUUUUCGUAGGAAAAGAUAUGGCACAGACAUCGGCGAAAGCAUCCCCUUUAUAAUAUAACUGACGAAGGCUUUGUAUAAUGAACAGGAUUAGAUACCCUGGUAGUAGAAGCAGAUAAUUAUGAAUGCCGUAGACUAGACAAUUGUUUAAUCUGUAAAUGAAAAUUCAAGCAUUCCACCUCAAGAGUAAUUUGGCAACAUUGGAACUGAAAUCAUUAGACCGUUUCUGAAACCAGUAGUGAAGUAUGUUAUUUAAUUUGAUAAUCCACAAAGAACCUUACCACAACUUGAAUAUUUAUUGAUGAUUUACAUACAUAAAUACAAGCGUUGCACGGCUGUCUUCAGUUAAUGUCGUGAGAUUAUGGUUGGCUCCAUUUAAUUAACGUAAACCCUCGCUUUAUUUUUAUAUAAAGCUGUUCUCCAUUAUAUAGGAUAAGAUAACAGGGACUAAGACAAGUCAUCAUGGCCUUUAUGUUGUGGGC